rnacentral:rRNA from 1 species
AGAUGUUACAGCAGGCAGAUCCAAUUUUCUGCCACCGAAUACAUUAGCAUGGGAUAAUGGAAUAGGACCCUGUCCUCCUAUUUUCAGUUGGUUUUGGCAGCGCGAGGACUAGGGUAAUGAUUAAUAGGGAUAGUUGGGGGCAUUAAUAUUUAAUUGUCAGAGGUGAAAUUCUUGGAUUUAUGAAAGAUUAACUUCUGCGAAAGCAUCUGCCAAGGAUGUUUUCAUUAAUCAAGAACGAAAGUUAGGGGAUCGAAGACGAUCAGAUACCGUCGUAGUCUUAACCAUAAACGAUGCCGACCAGCGAUUAGGAGACGUUGAAUACAAAACACCACCAUCGGUGCGGUCGUCCUUGGCGUCGGUUUCGGCCGGCGCGGGGGCGGCUUAGCCCGGUGGCACCGGUGAAUGACUCCCCUAGCAGCUUGUGAGAA